UGGGGAAUAUUGGGCAAUGGGCGCAAGCCUGACCCAGCAACGCCGCGUGAAGGAAGAAGGUUUUCGGAUCGUAAACUUCUAUCCUUGGUGAAGAUAAUGACGGUAGCCGAGAAGGAAGCCCCGGCUAACUACGUGCCAGCAGCCGCGGUAAUACGUAGGGGGCAAGCGUUGUCCGGAAUGAUUGGGCGUAAAGGGCGCGUAGGCGGCCUGUUAAGUCUGGAGUGAAAGUCCUGCUUUUAAGGUGGGAACUGCUUUGGAUACUGAUGGGCUUGAGUGCAGGAGAGGUAAGCGGAAUUCCCGGUGUAGCGGUGAAAUGCGUAGAGAUCGGGAGGAACACCAGUGGCGAAGGCGGCUUACUGGACUGUAACUGACGCUGAGGCGCGAAAGUGUGGGGAGCAAACAGG
rnacentral:rRNA from 2 species